rnacentral:rRNA from 1 species
UACGUAGGGUGCAAGCGUUAAUCGGAAUUACUGGGCGUAAAGCGUGCGCAGGCGGUUAUAUAAGACAGUUGUGAAAUCCCCCGGGCUCAACCUGGGAACUGCAUCUGUGACUGUAUAGCUAGAGUACGGUAGAGGGGGGAUGGAAUUCCGCGUGUAGCAGUGAAAUGCGUAGAUAUGUGGAGGAAUACCGAUGGCGAAGGCAGCCUCCUGGGCCAACACUGACGCUCAUGCACGAAAGCGUGGGGAGCAAACAGG